rnacentral:rRNA from 1 species
CUGGUCUGAGAGGACGACCAGCCACACUGGCACUGAGAUACGGGCCAGACUCCUACGGGAGGCAGCAGUGAGGAAUAUUGCGCAAUGGGGGAAACCCUGACGCAGCAACGCCGCGUGUGGGAAGAAGGCCUUCGGGUCGUAAACCACUUUUGCACGGGACGAAAAAGGGAUAUCGAACAAAUAUCCCCGAUGACGGUACCGUGAGAAUAAGCCACGGCUAACUCUGUGCCAGCAGCCGCGGUAAGACAGAGGUGGCAAGCGUUGUUCGGAAUUACUGGGCGUAAAGAGUCUGUAGGUGGUUUGUCAAGUCUUUGGUGAAAGGCCGUAGCUUAACUAUGGGAAUGCCAAAGAGACUGGCAGGCUGGAGGCUGGGAGAGGGAAGCGGAAUUUCUGGUGUAGCGGUGAAAUGCGUAGAUAUCAGAAGGAAGGCCGGUGGCGAAGGCGGCUUCCUGGAACAGUCCUGACACUGAGAGACGAAAGCGUGGGGAGCAAACAGGAUUAGAUACCCUGGUAGUCCACGCCCUAAACGAUGGGU